UACGGGGGGGGCAAGCGUUGUUCGGAAUUACUGGGCGUAAAGGGCUCGUAGGUGGCCAACUAAGUCAGACGUGAAAUCCCUCGGCUUAACCGGGGAACUGCGUCUGAUACUGGAUGGCUUGAGUUUGGGAGAGGGAUGCGGAAUUCCAGGUGUAGCGGUGAAAUGCGCAGAUAUCAGGAGGAACACCAAUUGCGAAGGCAGCUCGCUGGGACGUAACUGACGCUGAGACGCGAAAGCGUGGGGAGCAAACAGG
rnacentral:rRNA from 1 species